AGUCGCCGAGGCGGCGCCCUCGGGCGUGACGGCCUGCUCGGCCAAGUCGGCCAGCGCCAAGAGGCCAAAGGUCUGCCAGCCGAGGACGCUCAUGGCGUCUGUGCCGGCAGCGCUGGGCGCCGUCGCGGCGAUGGUCGUCAUGGCCUCUUGCAGUUGGCUGGUGUCGCGGAGGAACCGCUCCUGCGCCGCCUGCGCUUGGGCCUCGGCGCGCUCGGCCCUUUGGAGCGCGGCGACGAGUUGCUCCCGGAGCGCGACCACCUCGCGCUCGAGGUCCUGGUAGAGGGUGCUAUCGCGUAUCUGCUCUUCGAUGAGGUCGAGCGCCUCGCGGCGCGUUGCCUGGAGGGCCCGAUAGCGCGGGUCGUCCUCGAUGUUGGCAAACUGCGUGUCGAGCAGUUCUUCGUUGAGUCGGUUCACCUCGCCGAGGAGGCGCUCGCGCUCGGCGUCGGUGCGGGCGAAAUCGGCCCGCAGGCGCUCGACCUCGGCCACGGUCUCGGCCAGCCGCAGGCCCACCUGGCUUUCGAGGAGCACGCGCGUGUCGCCGAUCGGCAGCGUCUGGCGCACCUCGGCCGGGAUGGCCGACAGGGCGAGGUCCAGCGCCGCCAGGCGCUCCUCUUCGUCCAUCUCGGCCUGUCGCUGUUCCUCUCGCUCCUGUUCUACG
rnacentral:lncRNA from 1 species